rnacentral:rRNA from 1 species
CCUACGGGUGGCAGCAGUAGGGAAUAUUGCACAAUGGGAGAAACCCUGAUGCAGCAACGCCGCGUGGGGGAAGAAGUAAUUCGUUAUGUAAAGCUCUUUCAGCAGGGAAGAAAAUGACGGUAUCUGAGUAAGAAGCACCGGCUAACUACGUGCCAGCAGCCGCGGUAAUACGUAGGGGGCAAGCGUUAUCCGGAUUUACUGGGCGUAAAGGGCGCGUAGACGGGAGUGCAAGUCAGGAGUGAAAGGCUAUGGCUUAACCCUCGAACUGCAUUGGAAACUGUACGGCUGGAGUGCAGGAGAGGUAAGUGGAAUUCCUAGUGUAGCGGUGAAAUGCGUAGAGAUUAGGAGGAACACUAGUGGCGAAGGCGGCUUACUGGAAUGUAACUGACGUUGAGGCUCGAAAGCGUGGGGAGCAAACAGGAUUAGAUACCCCUGUAGUC